rnacentral:misc_RNA from 1 species
ACUGAUGAGGGCGACUAUCAGGUAAAACUACGCAACCUGAUUCGUUUUCUCGAAGAUGGCGACAAAGCCAAAAUCACACUGCGUUUUCGUGGUCGUGAAAUGGCACACCAGCAGAUCGGUAUGGAAGUGCUUAACCGCGUGAAAGAAGAUCUGUCUGAACUGGCAGUGGUCGAAUCCUUCCCAUCAAGGAUCGAAGGCCGCCAGAUGAUAAUGGUGCUUGCGCCGAAGAAGAAGCAAUAGGCCAUCAAGUAAUGCUGCGUCAGUCUCGGCUGGCGCUGUAUUCGCCUGUUGCUUUAUAUUAUUAACAAUGCGAAGUGGAUAUUUGUAAAAAUGCCAA